rnacentral:lncRNA from 1 species
CAAAUAUUGACGGUCAAGUAUAUUCCAGCUUGAAUUUGGGAACUAGGCAUUCAAAAAUAACAUUCACACAGCCUUUGCCCUCCAGGAAGUCUCUGUCUAAAGUUGAAAAGAUGAUGAAUAAGAUGUAAAUGAGUCAUAAAGGUGCAGUGCAUCAGAUAUUCCGAGCAAGUAUGGAGAGAGCAGUGGGUGGGCACAGCAAAGACAGUGUGGUUUGUGCUCCCUGAAUCUUGAUAAAAUCUGUCAAGGAAGGGAGACACCACGCCUGGAAAAGAAGGGAGAGGAGGAUGUGCGGACUGGGGGAGCAGCGUGCGGGAUGUUUGGAGAAUGAUCCACGUUCAGAAAUGGGGCUGGGGCUGGAGAGGACCUGGCGGGAGCUUGCCUUGUGGACGGGGCAGCCUUGUGGAUGAUGGGCAAGGGUUGCUAGGCAGGCUGAUGGAGCUGGAAUGUGGGCCUACCAUUCAUUCUACCGUGUUGUGAAAAUGGGGCCACGAACAGAUGGAUUCACCCCGUGAGAGCUCACGUUAGGAAACUAACUUCCUCUGGAGUCUGCCGAAUAGGCCGAGCCCUAGGAUCUGUUGUGAUAGACCACACCACAAAAGAGGGGUAAAGAGAGGUCAGAUAGGCAGGGGGUGAGCACACCUGGACUCCGGACUGGACUGAUAUGACGACCCAAAACCUGGCUCAACCCUCCACAAGACCAUAAACAAGUUAUUAGAAUGCUCUAUGCCUCCGUUUUCUCACCUGCAAAUGGCCUUUUGAAUUCACAGGGAGAAGGUGGCUGUCUGCAACCCAAAGGAAGAGGCCCUACCAGAUACUAACUCUGACAGCAUCUUGAGCAUGGACUUCUAGCUUCCAGACUGUGACACACUAAGUUUCUAUUGUUUGAGCCACCCAGGUUGAGCCAUUUUGUUUUGGCAACCCUAGCAUUCUAGGACAGCACCAUAUAAGUUGUAUCUACUAUUAUUACUAAGACAGUCAGAACAGAAAUAGAGAAGACAGGCUGAGUUUGAAGAACAACUCCGCCAUCCCAAAAUUCAGGAUUUUUAUGUCGAAGAUCGGUGUUGUUGGAAACUGGUCCUACAACUGUUUGAUCAUUUAUCAGUUAUGUGACCUCAGGAAAGUCAAUGGAGCCCCAGUCUCAGUACAUUCAUUAAUAAAGUGGGGCCAACACAGGAGGCGGCCUUCAAUGAUCCUUCAGCUCCUUCUCACAUCAGACAGCAUAUCUUCUACAUCUACUUACAUACUGUUUACAAAACACAUCUAUUAAAUCUUUAUUUUUCUAAAAAGUUA